rnacentral:piRNA from 1 species
AUUGAGGAGACUGGAGGACAGAGAC